rnacentral:rRNA from 1 species
CAGGCCUAACACAUGCAAGUCGAGCGGAAACGAGUUAUCUGAACCUUCGGGGAACGAUAACGGCGUCGAGCGGCGGACGGGUGAGUAACGCCUAGGAAAUUGCCCUGAUGUGGGGGAUAACCAUUGGAAACGAUGGCUAAUACCGCAUGAUGCCUACGGGCCAAAGAGGGGGACCUUCGGGCCUCUCGCGUCAGGAUAUGCCUAGGUGGGAUUAGCUAGUUGGCGAGGUAAGGGCUCACCAAGGCGACGAUCCCUAGCUGGUCUGAGAGGAUGAUCAGCCACACUGGAACUGAGACACGGUCCAGACUCCUACGGGAGGCAGCAGUGGGGAAUAUUGCACAAUGGGCGCAAGCCUGAUGCAGCCAUGCCGCGUGUGUGAAGAAGGCCUUCGGGUUGUAAAGCACUUUCAGUCGUGAGGAAGGUAGUGUAGUUAAUAGCUGCAUUAUUUGACGUUAGCGACAGAAGAAGCACCGGCUAACUCCGUGCCAGCAGCCGCGGUAAUACGGAGGGUGCGAGCGUUAAUCGGAAUUACUGGGCGUAAAGCGCAUGCAGGUGGUUUGUUAAGUCAGAUGUGAAAGCCCGGGGCUCAACCUCGGAAUAGCAUUUGAAACUGGCAGACUAGAGUACUGUAGAGGGGGGUAGAAUUUCAGGUGUAGCGGUGAAAUGCGUAGAGAUCUGAAGGAAUACCGGUGGCGAAGGCGGCCCCCUGGACAGAUACUGACACUCAGAUGCGAAAGCGUGGGGAGCAAACAGGAUUAGAUACCCUGGUAGUCCACGCCGUAAACGAUGUCUACUUGGAGGUUGUGGCCUUGAGCCGUGGCUUUCGGAGCUAACGCGUUAAGUAGACCGCCUGGGGAGUACGGUCGCAAGAUUAAAACUCAAAUGAAUUGACGGGGGCCCGCACAAGCGGUGGAGCAUGUGGUUUAAUUCGAUGCAACGCGAAGAACCUUACCUACUCUUGACAUCCAGAGAGCUUUCCAGAGAUGGAUUGGUGCCUUCGGGAACUCUGAGACAGGUGCUGCAUGGCUGUCGUCAGCUCGUGUUGUGAAAUGUUGGGUUAAGUCCCGCAACGAGCGCAACCCUUAUCCUUGUUUGCCAGCGAGUAAUGUCGGGAACUCCAGGGAGACUGCCGGUGAUAAACCGGAGGAAGGUGGGGACGACGUCAAGUCAUCAUGGCCCUUACGAGUAGGGCUACACACGUGCUACAAUGGCGCAUACAGAGGGCGGCCAACUUGCGAAAGUGAGCGAAUCCCAAAAAGUGCGUCGUAGUCCGGAUUGGAGUCUGCAACUCGACUCCAUGAAGUCGGAAUCGCUAGUAAUCGUGGAUCAGAAUGCCACGGUGAAUACGUUCCCGGGCCUUGUACACACCGCCCGU